rnacentral:rRNA from 1 species
CCUCGGUACUGAAGUUAACACAUUAAGUACUCCGCCUGAGUAGUACGUACGCAAGUAUGAAACUUAAAGGAAUUGACGGGAUCCGCACAAGCGGUGGAUCAUGUUGUUUAAUUCGAAGAUACACGAAAAACCUUACCAGGUCUUGACAUUAUCCUGCGAAGCUAUAGAAAUAUAGGGGAGGUUAUCAGGAUAACAGGUGGUGCAUGGUUGUCGUCAGCUCGUGUCGUGAGAUGUUAGGUUAAGUCCUAAAACGAGCGCAACCCUUGUCGUUAGUUACCAGCACGUUAUGGUGGGGACUUUAGCGAGACUGCCAAUGAAAAAAUUGGAGGAAGGUGAGGAUUACGUCAAAUCAUCAUGCCCCUUAUGAUCUGGGCUACAAACGUGAUACAAUGGCUAUUACAAAGAGCAGCUGAAACGUGAGUUGUUAGCUAAUCUCAAAAAAAUAGUCUCAGUUCGGAUUGAAGUCUGCAACUCGACUUCAUGAAGUUGGAAUCGCUAGUAAUCGCGAAUCAGCAUGUCGCGGUGAAUACGUUCUCGGGGUUUGUACACACCGCCCGUCAAACCAUGAAAGUUGACAAUACCCAAAACCAGUCGCUUAACUACUUCGGUAGAGGGAGCUGUCUAAGGUAGGGUCGAUGAUUGGGGUUAAGUCGUAACAAGGUAUCCCUACCGGAAGGUGGGGAUGGAUCACCUCCUUUCUAAGGAAAUGUCGUAUCAUGAUCAUCUUCAGUUUUGAAAGACUUAGAGUAGAUAAGUUUUUCUUUUGCGUAGAGGAGGCCUAUAGCUCAGUUGGUAGAGACACCUUGAAACGUGCGUCAUGGUCAGUCAUUA